GCCAGUAGAUUUUAUUCUUUUCAACAAGUGUGGGGAGGCAGGACGAGAUUGUUACACUGAACAGGUCUGUUUGGAGUUGUUAUUCUUUGUAAUUACCUUCAUUCUGUUUCCCUGCUUGUCAAUCAGCUCUGAACUUUAAAUGUACCAGUAAUUUGUGAGAAAAAUGCACUUCUAUUUCCUACAGGCACAUGUGUGCUUGAAGAUGGGUGUAUAUGUAGGUAUACACACUGUAUUUGAAAGGUGUUUCUGUAAUUUUCUAAAAAAAGGACGGAAUAUUUCAUUUACACAUAGAUAACAUUUAAUCUUUCUUUUAUUUUGGGGGGGGGUGCAGGGGUUGGGGAUUGAACACCAGGACAUUUUACCCUAUAAAAUUUGAGGCUGGCCUCAAAUCUUGACUCUUGCUUCUACGCUGCGAGACUUACGGGUUUGUGCCCCUGAGCCUUGAGGCAAUUUGUAUAUUUUCAAGAUGAAAGCAGUGCUGGGAGCGGCACAGUAGUGCAUGCCUGUAAUCCCAGCAACUCAGGAGGCUGAGGCAGGAGGAUUGUAAAUUCAAAGCCAGCCUCAGGGACAGCGAGGUGCUAAGCAACUCAGUGAGACCCUGUCUCAAAAUAAAAUACAAAAAGGGCUGGGGAUGUAGCUCAGUGGUUAAGUGCCCCUGGGUUCAAUCCCUGGUACCAAAUAAAUAAAAAAACAAAAAACAGUGCUGGGGAUGGAACCCAAGACCUCUCACAUGCUAGGCAAGUGCUCAUUCACUGAGCUACAUCCCUAGCCUGCACCCAAAAAAAUUCAAUAUAAAUAAAGAGUAUAAUUUCAGGAAAUUGAAUUGACAUUUUAUAGCAUAUUUGUUACAAAAUGUGAAUAUCUAUUUUUAAAAUCAUGAAUUUUAACUGCCACUGCUUAUUAGAGAUAUAAAUUUGAGACCACAUUUGCUGUGUUGCUCUACACAUAUUGUACACUCUAUUUAGUAUCAGAACUUUCUAGAUUGCACCAGACUCACCUGGAUCAGGAAACUGCAGCCAAAAUAAAAAUCACUCCACAAAAGUGUCCUGAACUAUAAAAAAGCCUUAAGAAGCAUGGUGCCUUUGUAAAAUGGUGAUCAUCAUAGACAUUAUCCUUCUUUGCCUUGGUGUAGAAAAAAGCCUCGGAUGCCACCCUACGUUUUUCAUUCAUUCAUUCAUUCAUCCAACAGACAUUUAUGGAGAAACUGCAGUGUGCCCAGCUCUGCGGGGGAAUUUGAAGAAACCUAUAUAAUGGUCAAAGAGGAUCUAGGAAAGGACAGAGGAGAAAAGCUGCAGAAUUCGCCACAUUACAGUGUCCUGGCCUGGCCUUUCCAGGCUGGGCAUUAUGCAAAUCCCUUUCCUGCUUCCUGCUUGAGGUCCCGUACCUCCACCAGGGGGUGUUAGGGGAUAGAAAGAAAAGAUGAAGGCGACUCCUUCCUCAGCAACUGCCUCCCUCCCUGGGCUGGGACGGGUGAAAACAAGGUUCUCCAAUGAUGCUAUCUGUUGGCUUCAGCUUUGCAGCUUACCCUCGGCACAGGAGCCAGAAGGAUCUUUGUGGACUAUCAUUCCGCCACCCCAAAACCUUCCGGCAGUUUCCUGGCACCCAAAGUGCAAGAGGAGACCCAGUUGCCUGAUUUGCCCUCUUGCUUCCUUAGUUCCUGCCCCUCAGCCCAUCUCUCAGGCCCCCCGACCUUUACAGUGGCCAUUCCUUGUAUCUGGAGCCUCCCAGGUCUCCUCCUUUGAGUCUUUGUCAAAUGUCACCUGCUCUAAGAGAUCCCACCCCCUGCAAGCCCUGGCCUCAGCCACCUCCCCAGUUUUUAAACAGUGCUUUGGACUUUCUAGCGUUCUCUUCAGCUUAUUUACUGUCUUUCUCCCCUCACAAGGAGGUAAGUUCGAUGAGGUCAAGGGUUUUUAUUUGUUUUAUUGACUGAUGUAACCCCAG
rnacentral:lncRNA from 1 species